GAGGAAAUAGAAUGUAUACACACCCUGCAAACUGAGAUGUUUUACGUUGGCUCUGGCUCCUACCGCCCCCCAUGUGUGGCAGCAGCUACCAAGACUCUACUGUGAAUCCCCAUGACUGCAAUGAGAAUGAACAAAAUGAACAACCUGCAGCAACAUGAAUGGACCUCACAAGGAUAAUGUUGAACAUAAGAAGCCAGGCACAAAAGAGUGCAUAUUUUUGUGUCUGACUCCAUUACAUGAAGUUCAAGAAGAAGAAACAUUAAUGUAUGGUUUUGGAAGGCAGGAUGUGGGGAGGUAGUUG
rnacentral:lncRNA from 1 species